ACAAGUGUCUUCAGUGGUGGUCUAGGUCCAAGGCCCCUAGAAAAAUCAUUGGAAAAGGUGAGAUCCUUGUUGUGCUUGGACCUUAUCGCACCAUAAGGUGCUUGAAAUUGUUGGGAGAGAAGUAAAUGGUGGUUGAUGAUGUGCCUUGGUUAGAUGUGGAAUAGCAAGAGCUAGCCCAUUGAUUAGCUCAAGCCAUGGACCAACACGGGUCACAUCAGUGGCCCAAGCCUAAGCUUUUGAUAUGCCUAUAAAGAUGUCACCAUGAUCAUGGAAUGUAGCAUGUACUAUCUCAGUGUGCCUUAGCACCAUUGUGCUCUUGAUGUCAGCCUGUGGGCUCCCCAUCUAGCCUAUCUUAAAACACGAACCAAGGAGUCUAACAUUUAUGCCAGUCAAUGGGCUAGAAAACCUAUAUGGUGCAAGGAAGUUGAUUGGUAAGAUCCCUCAUGGGUGCACUACCAACCGACUUUAAUCUUUUGAGAAAGGUUCAAGUAUGAGCAUGCUUGUCUAGACGUAAAAUAUGGUGAACUAUGCUUGAGUGAGGGAAAAGCUUGAGGAAAUUUUAGUGGAAGCCCAUAGUGAUAAUGACGUGCAAAUCAUUCAUCUGACUUAGGUAUAGGAGUGAAAGUCUAAUCAAACCAUCUAGUAGGUAGUUCCCUCCAAAGUUUCCCUAAAGAUAGCUGGAGCCCUUAGCAAGUUCUAUCAAGUAAAGCUAAUGAUUAAAGGCAUCAGGGGUGCAAUGCCCUCGACCUAUUCUCAAACUUUAAAUAGGUAGGAUAGUAUGGCUACUUUGUUGAACUACACCAUACAAUUAAAAGCUUCAAGUGGGCCAUUUUUGGUAAGCAAAACUAGCGAUGCAUGUUGAACUAGAAGCUAGGUUAUGGUGCCCAAUUGCACACUAACCUAGAACCCACUAAGGGUGUUGGUCAACUAAGAUAGCAAGACAAAGGUCUUGGACGUCAAAAUCUGCUAAAGAGUGUGUAACUCACCUAUUGAAUCAACUAGCCUUGAAAAUAGAUGGCACUUAAGUGUACGACAUAAACCUAGCUAUCAGGGCAAAGGUUUGGCCCCGAUGAAUAGGAGGGCAUAAGCUCAGGUGGAGUGGCUAUCAGUUCAAAUCUUGGUGGUAUUAGCAAAUACUCAAAUGAAAACUUUGAAGGCCAAAAAAAAAAGGUUCCAUGUUAACAACACUUACACAUGGGUUAGUCGAUCUUAAGAGAUAGGGGAAACUCAUUCGAUAGCAUAUCCAGCGUGAGUUGUGAAUGGGAAUUGGGUUAAAAUUCCUAAAUCAUGAUAUGACGAUUGGUGGCAAUGUUAGGGAGUCUAUAAACAUCAAUGAGGGCCUUAUCUUUUAUAUUUAAUGGCCUGCGCAACCUGGAAAUGGCUCAACAUAAGGUAUGUCUAAUGACCAAAAAAACAUUAUGUGUCAUGUGGCAUCUGAUGCACCCCCAACAGCCCUUGAAAAUUCAAAGGACUGAGUGUCAUCCAUGCCUAGCUAUACUCAUAAUCAUGUCAAGCCUCCAAGAUGAAUAGCCAUUGGUCGAUGGAAUAAUAUAGGCAAGGGAAGUUGACAAAAUUGAUCCAUAACCUUGGGAAAAAAAUUGGCUUUAAGUGCUGGGCAUGGGGGUCCUAGUCCCAAACCCAUCGGCUACCAAUGCACUACUCGAGCUACUCCCACAGUGAAAAUGGGUUGUCACAUGGUGGUUGGGGGAUGGAUUGGGAAUGGCUCCCUCUAGGGCCUUCCCUGGGCGAUGACCAGUUGACUUAAAAGUGGUAUAGACAAGGGCAUCUAACUAUUUAAUUAAAACAAAUCAUUGUGAUGGUCCAUAUGGAUCCUCACAUAGUGUGAUUUCUACUUAGUGCUCUAAAUGUUAAAGUGAAGAAAUUCAACCAAGCGUAGGUAAAUGAUAUAAGUAACUAUGACUCUCUUAAGGUAGCCAAAUGCUACAUAUCUAAUUAGUAAAGUGUAUAAUUGGAUUAACCAAAUUCCCACUGUCCCUAUCUACUAUCCAAUGAAACCAUAGCCAAGGGAACAGGCUUGGUAGAAUCAGUGUGGAAAUAAGACCCUGUUAAGCUUGAUACUAGUUUGACUUUGUGAAAUGACUUAAAAGAUGUAGGAUAAAUGGGAGCCAUUAGGCGAAAUUGAAAUACCACUACUUUUAAUGUUAUGUUACUUAUUUUAUGAAUCAGAGGUGGGGCAUGACCCUUGUUUUGGACCCAAGGCCGACCCUAGUCGAUCAAUCUAGGUAAAAGAUAUUGUCAGGUGAGGAGUUUGAUUAGGGUGGCACAUCUGUUAUAAGAUAAUACAGGUGUUCUAAGAUGAGCUGAAUAAGAAUAGAAAUCUCAUAUGGAAACAAAAAGGUAAAAGCUUGGUCAAUUUUGAUUUCUAGUACAAAUACAAACCAUGAAAGUGUGGCCUAUCAAUCCUUUAGACCUUUGGAAUUUUAAGCUAGAGGUGUUAGAAAAGUUACCGUAAUAGGGAUAACUAGCUUGUGGUUGCCAAGUGUUCAUAUUGAUGUUGCUUUUUGACCUUUUGAUGUUGGCUAUUCCUAUCAUUGUGAAAUAGAAUUCAUAAGUGUCAAAUUAUUCACCCACUAAAAGGUAACGUGAGCUAGGUUUAAACCAUCAUGAGAAGGUUAGUUUUACCCUACUGAUGGCAACAUCACAAUAAUAAUUCAACCUAGUAGGAGAGGAACCAUGGGUUCACACAAUUGGUCAUAGCGCUUGGUUAAAAAGCCAAUGGCACGAAGCUACCAUGUGCUAGAUUAUGAUUGAAUGCCUCUAAGUCAGAAUUAGGGCUAGAAGUAAUGCACGCACCCAUCAUUCGAUUGCCAACCCAUAGUAGGGGUCCAUGGCCUCCAAGGGCACGUGUUGUAGAUCCAGGCCUAUGACGGGUAAGCCACAUGGGUCUCUUUAGAGCUCAAUUCCCACCAAA
rnacentral:rRNA from 1 species